rnacentral:lncRNA from 1 species
CUAGGUAGCCGCCCACCCUCCGUUGAAGACGUCCUGCAGGACAGCAGCUGCGGCGAGCACAGGAGCCUGACGCAGUCGGAGAGCGACCCUCCGGUAGACGUCUACCUGCCAGGCUCAUCCGACUUCACCAAGACGCUCCCUGGCCGCGGCACCGGCAGCCCCACGCAGCCCCUUCUCUUCGAGCAGACACGUCUUCACCUGGAGGACGAGCAGAGCCUCUCGUGAGCGGGGGCCGGACCUCCCUGCCCACGCCACCGGACCCCAGAACCCACGCACAGCCUCUUCCCCACCUCCCCAGCAGGACUGGCCCGUG